UACAUCCUUGUCCUAGGGGAGCGGCGCGAUCUGUGAUCGUAUAGUGAGCCCGCGCUGCUGACACCCGUACGGAAUAAUUGCCCGUGUCCAGCGCCCUAGUGCGUUGAGGCACAAUUUUUGGACGU